AUCCCCGGACGGCUGCGAGGAAUGAGCGGUUGGCUCGGGCUGGUUUCCUCCCUCCACCGCCUGCUUGUUUCGCCAUGCCCGGGCCGGACGGUGGGGCUGCAGCGGCGAAAGCGACUGAAGUCCGGGAGCAGUCGCAUGAGCUUCCCGGUCACCAGGAGGCCCCGGGAACAGACACCUCACCCUGACAUUGUGGCAGGAACUUCUGGAUUGCUUUCCAAAGUGGCUGCACUGUUUUCUAUCCCCACUGGGCAGGAAAACAUCUAAGAAAGGAGGCUCCCCCCUUCCCUUGCAGGGUUACCAGCAAUUAAAAAGAAGUACUAGAGAGGCAAAUAUCGGCAGUAUACAUCUAAGCGCUGGUCGGAAAAGAAGGAACUCAGCCCAAGAACUUGCCCAAUCUGAUACUGGAGGUGCCACUCAAGAACCACUCCCUCCAAGAUGUUUUCCUGGAUUUCCUCAGCCUAAAGUAAUCCCUCUUUUUCCUGGCUAUACCAUCUGGAACAGAUGACUUCCAAGGACACCGUAGCAAAGAAAAAGAGAACUGGAAGCCCAUGUGCCUUAAUCGCUUCAUCCUAGAGGUAACACAGAACUUCUGCAUACAUUUCAUUGGCAGGAACUAAUCACCUAACCCCAAUUUAACCACAAGGAAGACUGGGAUAUGUAGAGGCAUAGCUAGUAGAUUUCACGUCUAUUAACAGUCUCUGCUAUACCCCCUCAGUACCAACUGACCACUAACUUCCCACCCCACUCACCAGGAAUGUAUAGCUGCUGAUGAUUUUCGAAUUCGGUAAGAGACUGGAUUGUGAAUAUCAGACCACCUCUUCAGUCUAACAGACAGUGCUUGUUUUACCUAAGGUGAGGAGACAGCACAGGCAGUACUCACUUGUUUGUCAGUUACAGUCCUUUUCCUCUCCCUCUCUCAUUACUCACCAUGAAACACACAUUGUCCCUUCUACUUCUGUCCCAAGCGUCACACUCAUAAGAACAUAAGAAGUGCCCCCAGAUCAAACAAGAGUGCUUGAAUAGAAAGUGAGAUAUUUCUUCUUUAUAAGGUUGACCUUACAAGGCUGAGGCAGGCUAUGCCUAAUUAUGUAGGGACCCUAAUGUCUCAUGGUUGUGUCAGCAUAAAUUAAUUAAUGAUUAACCCUCUAACAAGGCUAAGUGAACAGAAUUCCCCAGUGUCCUGAGAGAAGGAAAGUUAAUGUGUUCUUUCUCCCAGGAGGAGGAUAACCAGUGGAGCCUUUUCUGGAUUUCUCACUAGAAGUAAAGACCAAAUUUCCAGAAGGAACCUGAGAGAUAAAAAGUGGUUGGCUGCUCCUGACCUGACUCAUAGUGUUUAACUGAACCAUACCACUAGUGUAUACUAGUGUGUGUGUAUGUACAUGCAUACACACAUGCACACACACAUUCACACACAAUCCUAUGGUAUUUGGUGACUUUGGAUGCCCAGCUCUUGCAACAAUUUCCUGCUGUCAUUCUUUUCCCUUUGAAUCUCAGGGGUGAGCAAACUAAAGAAAUACUAUCAUCUUACUGCUUUUAGUAUAUUCCAUAGAAAAGGAGUGGCUGGAGUCAGUGUAGAUCAACCCAAGCAGUACAAAUCUGCCAGAAUUGCAGCUCAGCUUCCUUACCUCCAGCAUGUGUACCUUUCUGAAGGGUAGGCCCUUAAGCCAGACAUAAGUAAGUUAUCCACUCUGUGCAUAACUGUCUGACUUGGCUUAGAAGCAUGAAAGGGGCAGAAAUGUAAGAUGGGUAAAGAAGGGCUUCAUCUGAAAUAGGGCCAUGAUGAUUAGCUCUCUCUUUCCUUCCUUUGGCUUCAUUGCUGUAUUCCAUGUGGGUCUUGAUAUCUUGAAACUGGAUGAGAUACCCAAAUAGUCAGUCCCUGAAUAUAAAUCAUUUCCUUGUACAGAAUCACUGCCAAACUCAGUAUGGUUAAAAGAUUUUUAACACCCAGCUGCAGCAUUCACUCUGGUUAGAAUUGGCCAUUUAAAUUUAUUUCACAUAUGUAAGUAUCAUAUCCUUUAUAAUGCAUUCUUAAUUGUUGCUCAGUUCUUCCAGAUUGAAUUCCUUUAAAAAAUUCCUUAUGUAAUCUUUUAAUUCUAGUUGGAAAACAUCACUUGACAGUUGCUGUUUAUACAGGCAUGCCUCGUUUUAUUGUGCCUGGCUUUAUUGUACUUUGCAGAUACUGUGUUUUUCACAAAUGGAAGGUUUGUGGCAACCCUGCGUUAAGCAAGUCUGUUGGCACCAUUUUCUCGACAGCAUGUGCUAACUUUGUCUCUGUCUCACAUUUUGGUAAUUCUCUCAAUGUUUCAAACUUUUUCAUUAUGAUUACAUCUGUUAUGUGGAGCUGUGAUCAGUGAUCUUUGAUGUUAACAUUGUAAUUGUUUUGGGGUGCCACAACUGUGCCCAGAUAAGACAGUGAACUUAAUUGGUAAAUGUUUUAUGUGUUCAGACUGUUCCACUGACUAGCCCUUCUUCAAACUCUCUCACUCUCCUUGGGCCUCCCUAUUCCCUGAAAUACAACAAUAUUGAUAUUAAGCCAAUUAAUAACCCUACAAUGAUUUCCAAGUGUUUAAGUGAAAGGAAAGACAUGUAUGUUUCACCUUAAGUGAUCUGCCUGCCUCGGCAUCCCAAAGUGCUGGGAUUACAGGCAUGAGCCACCGUGCCCGGCCAGCAUCUAGGAUUUUAAUAGCUGCAGAGGAGAAGUCAGUGCUUGGCUUCAAAGGUUCAAAGGACAGGUUGACUCUCUUGUUAGGAGCUAAUGCAGCUGGUGACUUUAAAUUGAAGCCAAUAUUCAUUUAUCAUUCUGAAAAUUCUAGGGUCCUUAAGAAUUAUGCCAAAUUCUGCUUGUGUUCUCUAAAUGGAACAACAAAGCCUGAAUGACAGCACAUCUGUUUACAGCAUGGUUUUCUGAACAUGUUAAGCCCACUGUUGAGACCUACUGCUCAGAAAAAAAGGUUCCUUUCAAAAUAUUACUGCUCAUUAACAAUGCACUUAGUCACCCAAGAGCUCUGAUGGCUAUGUACAAGGAGAUUAAUGUUGUUUUCAUGUCUGCUAACACAACAUACAUUCUGUAGCAGAUGGAUUAAGGAGUAAUUUAGACCUUCAAGUCCUAUUUUUUUAAAAAAUACAUUUUAUAAGGCUGCAAUGGAGCUAUUCCUUUGAUAGAUCUGGGCAAAGGAAAUUGAAAACCUUCUGGAAAGGAUUCACCAUUCUAAAUGACAUUAAGAACACUCAUGGUUAAUAGGAGGAGGUCAAAAUACCAACGUGGACUGUAAUCCCAGCAUUUUGGGAGGCCAAGGCGGGUGGAUCACUUGAGGUCAGGAGUUCAAGACCAGCCUGGCCAACAUGCUGAAAUCCUGUCUCUACUAAAAAUAUAAAACAUUAGCCGGGUGUGGUGGUGGGCGCUUGUAAUCCCAGUUACUUGGGAGGCUGAGGCAGGAGAAUCUCUUGAACCCAGAAGGUGGAGGUUGCAGUGAGCCGAGAUUGUGCCACUGCACUCCAGCCUGGGCAACGGAGUGAGACUCCAUCUCAAAAAACAAAACAAAACAAAACAAAACAAAUAAACAAACAAAAGACAAAAAAAAACCCAACAUUAACAGGAGUUGGGAAGAAAUUUGAUAUGGUUCAGAUCUGUGUCCCCACCCAAAUCUCAUGUCGAAUUGUAAUUCCCAGUGUUGGAGCUGGGGCCUGGAGGAAGGUGGUUGGAUAACGGGGGUGGUUUCUCAUGGCUUAACACCAUCCCCCUUAGUUGCCGUCAUCACAUACUUGUGAGAUCUGGUUGCUUAAAAAUGUGUAUCACCUCCUCCCCGCUCUCUUUCUCCUACUCUGGCCAUGUGAAAUUACUUGCUCUUCCUUCGCCUUCUGCCAUGAUUGGAAGCUUCCUGAGACCUCCCCGGAGGCUGAUGCUGCCGUGCUUCCUGUACAGCCUGCAGUACUGUGAGCCAAAUAAACCUCUUUUCUUUAUAUAUUACCCAGUCUCAGGCAUUUCUUUAUAGCAAUGCAAGAAUGGACUAAUACAAAGUUCAUUCCAACCUUCAUGGAUGACUUUGAGGGGUUCAAGACUUCAGUGGAGGAAGUCACUGCAGAUGAGGUGGAAAUAGCAAGAGAACUAAAAUUAGAAGUGAAGCCCGAAGAUAUGAUUGAAUUGCUGCAAUCUCAUGAUAAAACUUGAACAGAUGAGGUAUUGCUUCUUAUGGAUGAGCAAAGAAAGUGGAUUUUUGAGAUGGAAUUUACUCCUGGUGAAGAUGCUGUGAACAUUGUUGAAAUGACAACAAAGGAUUUAGAAUAUGACAUAAACUUAGUUGAUAAAGCAGUGGCAGGGUUUGAGAGGACUGACUCCAAUUUUGAAAGAAGUUUCACUGUGGGUAAAAUGCUAUCAAAUAGCAUGGCAUGCUAUAAAGAAAUCUUUUGGGCCAGGUGCAGUGGCUCAUGCCUGUAAUCCCAACAUUUUGGGAGGCCGAGGUGGGUGGAUCACGAGGUCAAGAGAUUGAGACCAUCCCGGCUAACAUGGUGAAACCCCAUCUCUAUUAAAAAUACAAAAAAAUUAGCUGGGCAUGGUGGCACAUGCCUGUAGUCCCAGCUGAGGCAGGAGAAUCACUUGAACCCCGGAGAUGGAGGCUACAGUGAGCCAAGAUUGUGCCAUUGCACUCUAACUUAGUGACAGAGCAAGACUCUGUCUAAAAAUAAAUAAAUAAAUAAAUAAUCUUUUAGGCCAGUCGUGGUGGCUCACGCCUGUAAUCCUAGCACUUUGGGAGGCUGAGACGGGCAGAUUGCCUGAGCUCAGGAGUUCCAGACCAGCCUGGGCAACACAGCGAAACCCCAUCUCUACUAAAAUACAAAAAUCGGCUGGGCGUGGUGGCGGGCGCCUGUAAUCCCAGCUAUUCAGGAGGCUGAGGCAUGAGAAUUGCAUGAACCCUGGAGGCGGAAGUUGCAGAGAGCUGAGAUCUUGCCACUGUACUCCAGCCUGUG
rnacentral:lncRNA from 1 species